UGGGCUGUGAGCCAAGACAAUCUGGUUCCAACCCUGUCCUCCGAAUGCAGCACUAAACUGCAGAGAGAGCACAGGGAGAGCAGAUAAGGACCACAUCACAGAAAUCAGAGAAAGAAAAGGAAAAUCAUUUAAGUAAAACAUCUUGGAUAGCAGUGAAAGGGAAAUACGGCAACCAGGUCUUUUAGGUACUGACUUCUGUUUUUUUCUUCAAAUGGAAAAUUAGAGAAACCCACCAAGAGACUCGCUUUUGGUUAGGCACUGUGAGAAAAACAAGAAGCAGUCAAAUUCAUCCUCAACGGAUUAAGGACGGAAAAGCGUGUACUUGUCAUGUACCUUCUACAUGCCUGGUUCUCUGCCAGGAGUUGAUGGCAAAGCAGUGAAUUGGACAAAUAAAAUAGAAACCAGCAUCCAUGAGGGCACAGUAACGGCCUACUCAGCAUGAAAUGAUGAGGAUAAUAACCUUUAUGAUGACCCACCUUCACUUGGAUCAAUGAUUAGAAGAAGAGACAUGGACACAUAGACACAUACAGAGAGAAGAAAGAUCAUGUGAAGCUACAGGGAGAAGACAGCCAUCUACAAGCCAAGGAGAUAGGCUGUACAAGAAACCCACCCUGACGAAACCUUGAUCUUGGACUUCCAGCUUCCAGAUUCACAGGAAAAUAAAUUUCCAUUGUUUAAACCACACAGUCUAUGGUAUUUUGUUAUGGCAGUUCUAGCAAACUUAUAUACAGCCUAUAGCAUAUACUACUCAUUUUAGACAACUUUUAUUUUGAAACAUAUCAUAUUUUUGCUACUUUUGCUUACACAGUUUCUUUUGCUUAGUGCCCCUUGCUAGUCCAUAUUUAUACUUAAAGGUAUUUUAGGCCUGGUGCAGUGGCUCACACCUGUAAUUCCAACAAUCUGGCAGGCCGAGGUGGGUGGAUCACUUGAGGUCAGGAGUUCGAGACCAGUCUGGUCAACAUGGCAAAACCCCUUCUCUACUAAAAAAUACAAAAAUUAACCAGAUGUGGUGGUGGGUGCCUGUAAUCCCAGCUAUUUGGGAGGCUGAGGCAGGAGAAUUGCUUGAAAUCAGGAGGCAGAGGUUGCAGUGAACCCAGAUCUCAUCACUGUAUUCCAGCCUGGGCAACAGAGUGACACUCCAUCUCAAAAAAAGAAAAAAUAUUUUUCCUCAAAGUAUUUCUUAACAGCCUAUGACCGUCAGAGCUAAGAGUAAUUUUCCCUUCUUCUACAUUAUUUUUGUAAUUUUUCCUUACUUCUAAUAAAGCAACCAUCACAUUAUACUUUUUGUUUCUCCUGUAAAAUUGCACCAGUCCUCGAAGAAAAGAUUAGAGCAGUGACAAGGGUCAAGUCAGACAUGAUGGUUGCCUGGAAUGAUGUGAUGAUAGUGUUGGUGAGAAUAUGUGAAACAAGGCGGAACUGAUGACCUUGGUGGUUUAUAAAAUUCAGGGAGACCAGGUAAAAGUCCAUAUGAAGGAUGCAGUCCCGGAAUGAGGAUGCUGUCAUCUUGGACCCUAACACAUAAAGGCAAGGGUGGCAUUACGAACUGAAAGGAGCCAGGAGCUUUGUUGGAACAGAACCACCAUAUUAGCCCUGGACUUCCUGCAUGGGCUGGUUUGCAUUUGAGAGAGAAGUAAACUACCUUAUAUAAGCCACUGCAAUUUGUUUUCCCACUUACAGUCAAUAUAAUCCUAACGGAGAGAGCAAACAACAAGGUAAGUGUUAGCCCACCUAUUUCCUGCCACUUCCCACUUCCUUCUCUGUUUCUAUAAGCAGUUUUUUCCCCCUGCACUCAAUUCAUAGUGAACUCCUUGUCUUGCUCACAGAGCAGUCUUAAAACAUUAGCCAGCCAGCUGGUUUUCCUCCUUGUGUUCCUAUAGCCAAGUGCUAUGAAAAAUUAAUGCACAAGGUGCUAUGGGAGACUCAACAAAGGCCACACUGGGUGAUAGAAAUGGCAGGUAAAAACCCACAGAGGUAUGACAGAGACUGGCACUUUCAGUGACUUGCAAGGAGCUUGGCAUAGCUGAAGUAUAAUAUAAGUGAUUGAGAUUGAAGCUUAAGAGGUAGACAGGAGCUAAUACUAAAGACCAUUCUUGCUAAGCUAAGGAUCUUGACUUUCUCUUGCUUCCCUUGGAACAUCCUUUCCAAAGAAGAACAGGAAGACAAUAUCUUUGUCAUUGAUUCACCUGUAUAAGCACCGAUGUUGAAGCAACCUCAUAACCAAUGGUGCAUCUUUCAAGGGAAAAACAGGACCAAGGCAGUGCUAAGGAGGCAGUGCUGGAAGAAUAAAUAAAAGAAUUAUAGUCCACCCUAUACAUAAUCAAAUGGUUCCUGAAGGACCUCUUUAAACAAUUUUUCUCCUAUCCUGUUAUCAUAAGACCUAACACUCUACUGUCAGUGAUAUAUUUAUUAACUCUUAUUAAAGGUAUUACUGAGUUAAGAUGAGAAAGAACAUUACGAGGAGGUUAAAUCCUUUACUUCCAAAUGUUGCUGUUAGCUGACAUUGGUGAGUAGUCAUGACAAUGCAACCCAACCAAUAACUGAGAGGCAGAAACGAUAGAAUAUGGUUGAAGAUGAGGAGGAAAUGCCUUCGCUAGAAGACCAAGCUGACUUCCCCAGGAGGGGAAAAGUCAGGGAGCUACUGCUGCCUCACAACUGCUUAUGCAGACAGUCAGACUGAGUAGGGAGGAAACUAUCCCACCAGGCUGUUAAGGAGAGCUGACAGUUUCAGGAGGUGGAACAGCAUGUAACUGAUACUACUGCAUGGAGAGCAAAAUGUGUUGGCCACCUAAUGUGAGUCUUCCUUGCCACCACCACUCCUACAUUCCUGUUCCCCAGAGCAGAUUGAGCCCCACUUGCCAAAAAAGGCAGGGGUGGGAAGAUGGUUGGCCUCAUGCCCACUUGGAUAUCUGCUGGGAGAAUUUUACACAUGCUGCUAAGUGCCCAGUGGCACCCAGGGUUCCCUUUUACAUUAUUAAUUGCCCUGAAAUUCAACCACAUGGUCCUUCUGCCUGCCUGGACCAGUGCUUGAUGACAGCUGCUAUUGGAUACUGACUGUGCUCCAAGAGUCCCCAAGUUCCAUCCUCACCCUCUCAGCGAGGGUCCUCCCAAACCAGUGAGGAGAAUGUGUAUCUCUGUGUGCGGGCACCUGUGCGUGCUUGGUUUUAUGUGUUUAUCUCUUGGUUCCAAGCACAGAUCUGCAUGUAUACGUGUAUACAUACCUGGAGAUUGUGUAUGUCGGCAUGGAUUCAUGCUCACCUCUGAGGAUAUUUCUUGAUUAUUUAUGAUGAUUUCAAAAUAAACCUGGUGGACAAUGUUUUAAGAUUUCUUGAGGAACCAGAAUUAUUUUCAUCUUAAUGUGAAGAAACACAGGAAUAAUAAAUAAUAACUAUAUUUAUCUUUUCUGAACAAGGAGGGGCAAAGUUUUCAGAAUGUUCUUUCUGGAUAUUAGGGCAAAGUGGAAAAAAAUGAGGUGGAAGGUAUUCUGAGAAAUGUUUGAGGUGGGAUCACUUUGCCCUCCCUACGCAAAUAUCUCAUGUUCCCCUUUUUCUGAUUUUGUUUUGGAAAAAGGGUUUUGAAUUGGGUAUUUGUGCAGUAUAUAAUUUUACACACACACUCAUAUGACUGCAUAAACAUGCAUGCAUUAACAUGCUUAUUCAGUACAUGAAACAUGCAAGGUAUUUUGCUAGAAACUUCAGGAGAUGCAAAUGUAGUUUUCCAUUCAUCCUCAACAAUCUCCAACCCUGUUAAUGACAAAAAAAAAAAAUAGCAGAAAGCAGUGAGUGUUAGAAGCCAAAUGGCUACUACAAGCAUCAUGUACAAAGAAGUUCAGAGAAGGAGGGACUCACUACCUCCCUCUGCAGCCAGGGCAGGUUAUAAGGAGGAGCUGGAACAUGAGCCCAGUCUUGAAGAUGAGUUGGCUCUUCCUAUGUGAGUAUAUUGCUGAAAACUGCCACUGUGGGAAAUAAUGGGGAAGAGCAAACCAGUAGCAGAGAGGGCCAAGUGACAAAGCUCCCAGAAAGCCACAACGUUCUUAUGCCCAUUUUCCCUGUGGUGAAAGAGUGAAUCAUCUGCUGUAUAGUAUGGGUCCAUCCCUUGGAACCCAACUUUCUUCUCUAACUUCAUAAAGGGAUCUCAUCCUGACUUCAUAAGGUCUCAUUUACAUUUCACAGGGGAAGCUCAUCCCAACUUUUCCUCUUUGCUGCUGUAGGACUGAAGAGCCAAUCAAAGCAGAGGGAUGAAUAGAUAGAAGUCACAGACCAUUCAAGAUGAUUGAUCGAUUGAGCGAGUCCCCCUUUGAUUAGUUCCACUCAUUUAACAAAACCUGCAUUAACCAUUUACAAAUUUUCCGGCAUUAGGCUAGGCAUGACCCUCAAAAUAGUUAGGAAAGGAGAAGUUCUAUAAUAUAAAAUCGAUAGCACAUGCAGUGGAAUAAUGAUGUGUACAGGAUGGUCUUGGAAGUCCUGAAGGGAAGCUAUUUAAAGAAAACUGGACAUUCAGGAUGACUUUAUGGAGGAGAAACUUCAGUGGCAUCUAUUGUCUUGCUAAGUUUUGAAGGAAAAGUAGGUGUUAACUUGAUGGAGAAACAGUGUGGACGAUGGUAAACUUGUAUUUGCAAACACCAUGCCAAUCUAUUAGCCUUCGUUGCUUAUAAAGAGAAUUUCUAGAGGAUAGCACUUCAAGCUGUUUCCUGGACACAUUAAUUUAAUGCUGUCAAAACUGAUGGUUUAGCUCAUAGUAUCAAAUAGCACUGAGAUAAAAUUUAUAUCAAGAUUAAUUUAUAAAAUGUGAUGGCAUCUAGCUU